rnacentral:rRNA from 1 species
UAAACGGCGGCCGUAACUAUAACGGUCCUAAGGUAGCGAAAUUCCUUGUCGGGUAAGUUCCGACCUGCACGAAUGGCAUAACGAUGGCCACACUGUCUCCUCCCGAGACUCAGUGAAGUUGAAAUGUUUGUGAUGAUGCAAUCUACCCGCGGCUAGACGGAAAGACCCCAUGAACCUUUACUGCAGCUUUGCAUUGAACUGUGAACCGAUUUGUGUAGGAUAGGUGGGAGGCAGAGAAGAGGCCCCGCCAGUGGCCUUGGAGCCGACCUUGAAAUACCACCCUGAUUUGUUUGCGGUUCUAACCACGGACAGUGAUCCUGUCUUGGGACCGUGCAUGGUAGGCAGUUUGACUGGGGCGGUCUCCUCCUAAAGGGUAACGGAGGAGUACGAAGGUACGCUAGGUACGGUCGGAAAUCGUGCUGAUAGUGCAAUGGCAAAAGCGUGCUUGACUGCGAGAGCAACAACUCGAGCAGAUGCGAAAGCAGGUCAUAGUGAUCCGGUGGCUCUGAAUGGAAGGGCCAUCGCUCAACGGAUAAAAGGUACUCUGGGGAUAACAGGCUGAUACCGCCCAAGAGUUCAUAUCGACGGCGGUGUUUGGCACCUCGAUGUCGGCUCAUCUCAUCCUGGGGCUGUAGUCGGUCCCAAGGGUAUGGCUGUUCGCCAUUUAAAGAGGUACGUGAGCUGGGUUUAAAACGUCGUGAGACAGUUUGGUCCCUAUCUGCCGUGGGCGUUGGAAGAUUGACGGGGGCUGCUCCUAGUACGAGAGGACCGGAGUGGACGCACCUCUGGUGUACCGGUUGUCACGCCAGUGGCAUUGCCGGGUAGCUAAGUGCGGAAGAGAUAACCGCUGAAAGCAUCUAAGCGGGAAACUUGCCUGAAGAUGAGUCUUCCCGGAGGUUGAACCUCCCUCAAGAGUCGUCCGAGACCAGGACGUCGAUAGGUCAGGUGUGUAAGCGCUGUAAGGCGUUGAGCUAACUGAUACUAAUUGCUCGUGAGGCUUGAUCCU